rnacentral:rRNA from 1 species
UGGGGAAUAUUGCACAAUGGGCGAAAGCCUGAUGCAGCAACCCCGCGUGAAGGAAGAAGGCCUUCGGGUCCUAAACUUCUGUCCUAUGGGAAGAAAAAAAUGACGGUACCCUAGGAGGAAGCCCCGGCUAACUACGUGCCAGCAGCCGCGGUAAUACGUAGGGGGCGAGCGUUAUCCGGAAUUAUUGGGCGUAAAGAGUGCGUAGGUGGUAACUUAAGCGCGGGGUUUAAGGCAAUGGCUUAACCAUUGUUCGCCCUGCGAACUGGGAUACUUGAGUGCAGGAGAGGAAAGCGGAAUUCCUAGUGUAGCGGUGAAAUGCGUAGAUAUUAGGAGGAACACCAGUGGCGAAGGCGGCUUUCUGGACUGAAACUGACACUGAGGCACGAAAGUGUGGGGAGCAAACAGGAUUAGAUACCCUGGUAGUCCACACUGUAAACGAUGAUAACUAGGUGUGGGGGGUCUGACCCCUUCCGUGCCGCAGCUAACGCAAUAAGUUAUCCACCUGGGGAGUACGACCGCAAGGUUGAAACUCAAAGGAAUUGACGGGGACCCGCACAAGCAGUGGAUUAUGUGGUUUAAUUCGAAGCAACGCGAAGAACCUUACCAGCACUUGACAUCCGACUAACGAAGUAGAGAUACAUUAGGUGCCCUUCGGGGAAAGUCGAGACAGGUGGUGCAUGGUUGUCGUCAGCUCGUGUCGUGAGAUGUUGGGUUAAGUCCCGCAACGAGCGCAACCCCUGCCAUUAGUUGCUACGCAAGAGCACUCUAAUGGGACCGCUACCGACAAGGUGGAGGAAGGUGGGGACGACGUCAAAUCAUCAUGCCCCUUAUGUGCUGGGCUACACACGUAAUACAAUGGCCAUCAACAAAGAGAAGCAAUACCGCGAGGUGGAGCAAAACUUCAAAAAUGGUCUCAGUUCGGACUGCAGGCUGCAACCCGCCUGCACGAAGUUGGAAUUGCUAGUAAUCGUGGAUCAGCAUGCCACGGUGAAUACGUUCCC